GAUGAACGCUGGCGGCGUGCCUAAUACAUGCAAGUCGAGCGAACAGACGAGGAGCUUGCUCCUCUGACGUUAGCGGCGGACGGGUGAGUAACACGUGGAUAACCUACCUAUAAGACUGGGAUAACUUCGGGAAACCGGAGCUAAUACCGGAUAAUAUAUUGAACCGCAUGGUUCAAUAGUGAAAGACGGUUUUGCUGUCACUUAUAGAUGGAUCCGCGCCGCAUUAGCUAGUUGGUAAGGUAACGGCUUACCAAGGCAACGAUGCGUAGCCGACCUGAGAGGGGGAUCGGCCACACUGGAACUGAGACACGGUCCAGACUCCUGAGAGAGGCAGGAGUAGUGAGUCUUCCGCAAUGGGCGAAAGCCUGACGGAGCAACGCCGCGUGAGUGAUGAAGGUCUUCGGAUCGUAAAACUCUGUUAUAGUGAAGAACAAAUGUGUAAGUAACUAUGCACGUCUUGACGGUACCUAAUCAGAAAGCCACGGCUAACUACGUG
rnacentral:rRNA from 1 species